AUGGACCACGCGUACACUCCGGUUUUGAACGCGCCGUCCACACCCACCUGACAACUGCUCGCUAUGUUUUGUUAGCC
rnacentral:sRNA from 1 species